AACUGAAAUUUUAGUGGCUAACUUAAGG
rnacentral:sRNA from 1 species